rnacentral:rRNA from 1 species
UACAGAGGGUGCGAGCGUUGUUCGGAAUUACUGGGCGUAAAGCGCGCGCAGGCGGCCCUUUAAGUCUACCCGUGAAAUGCCGGAGCUCAACUCCGUGCACGCCGGGGGAUACUGGGGGGCUGGAGACAUGUAGAGGCAAGCGGAAUUCCGGGUGUAGCGGUGGAAUGCGUAGAUAUCCGGAAGAACACCUGAGGCGAAGGCGGCUUGCUGGGCAUGAUCUGACGCUGAGGCGGCGAAAGCGUGGGGAGCAAACAGG